ACUCAGAGCUAAGCAAUCCAUUAAUGCCAUAGCUGAGGAUGGGAGUGGUUGGGUAUCACUUUCUCCAAAGCGUGCAGAUCCGUUUGCCACAAGUUCUGAUAUGUCUCCACCACGUCAGAAUAGUACCCGGAAUGACACACCUUCUCCUGAACUUGAUAGAAGUAGAGAAAACAAUAGGCAUUUUAGUUCUGAUAUAUCACCCCCUCGUAAGAAGAGAUCAGAAGAUGAUUCGCCUAGGGUACAGCCAGGAUUUUAUCACUCUGUGGAAGAUAAAGACUUCUCUCCUCCACGGAAGCGACAUCAACAUCAUGAUAUUCAUCCGAUUGAUAAUCUCAGAAGAACCAUUCCUAGCUCUUGUACUAUAAGCUCUGCCUUGUCUCCUCCUCGUAAGCAAAGAGCUCGAUAUGACACGCCUUCCCCAGAUCCUGUUUUGAGGGAUUCUAGGCAAGGUAACAACUUCCUUGUUUUAUCUGUUGACUUAGGCAAUAUGGUCAAUAUGGUACUUCACAAACAGAUAAUGAAAAACUUGUGUUAUUUUAGUGUUCAAAAAAUAUUUUAUUUCCAAUUUUAUAUAUUGGUGUUUAUUGUGUUGUUUUAUAGAUGAAGAGCCUCAAGUUGAUGAAGAUAUAGAAGUCAAGCGACUAAAGAGGCUUGAACAACUCAGAGCUAAGCAAUCCAUUAAUGCCAUAGCUGAGGAUGGGAGUGGUUGGGUAUCACUUUCUCCAAAGCGUGCAGAUCCGUUUGCCACAAGUUCUGAUAUGUCUCCACCACGUCAGAAUAGUACCCGGAAUGACACACCUUCUCCUGAACUUGAUAGAAGUAGAGAAAACAAUAGGCAUUUUAGUUCUGAUAUAUCACCCCCUCGUAAGAAGAGAUCAGAAGAUGAUUCGCCUAGGGUACAGCCAGGAUUUUAUCACUCUGUGGAAGAUAAAGACUUCUCUCCUCC
rnacentral:lncRNA from 1 species